AACUACUACAGCCUUCCAUUUUGCCAUCCGUCUGGCAGUGCUGCACACAAAUGGGGUGGCCUUGGUGAGGUCCUGGGAGGAAAUGAACUUAUUGAUAGCAAGAUUGACUUAAAGUUCCUGAGGAAUGUGGAAAAAGGCUCCAUUUGUUCACUUGAACUUGAUGAAGCUAAAGUCAAACAAUUUAAGGAUGCAAUUGAGAAUAACUACUGGUUUGAAUUCUUCAUGGAUGACCUGCCAUUAUGGGGCUUUGUUGGUGAGUUGCAAUCCUGACAAGAACAGUGAUAAAGGCAAGCAUGUCCUUUACACACAUAAGAG
rnacentral:misc_RNA from 1 species